AUCGAACGCUGGCGGCAUGCCUAACACAUGCAAGUCGAGCGGAGCGGCGGAAGGGUGAGUAAUGACUGGGAAUCUGCCUGGGGGUGAGGGAUAAAGUCGGGGAAGGGGCGCUAAUACAGCAUGCUAUAAGAUGAGCCUAGGUCGGAUUAGCUAGUUGGUGGGGUAAUGGCCUACCAAGGCGACGAUGCAUAACUGGUCUGAGAGGGUGAUCAGUCACACGGGGACUGAGACACGGUCCAGACGCCUACGUGAGGCAGCAGUGGGGAAUAUUCGACAAUGGGCGAAAGCCUGAUCGAGCAAUGCCGCGUGUGUGAAGAAGGUUUUCGGAUUGUAAAGCACUGUAAUUUGGGAGGCGGUACCAAACGAGUAAGCCACGGCUAACUACGUGCCAGCAGCCGCGGUAAUAC
rnacentral:rRNA from 1 species